rnacentral:snRNA from 1 species
GGAAGUGAGGGCAAUCUGGCUGUGACAUCUGUCACCCCAUUGAUUGCCAGGGUUAAUUCAUCUGGUCAGGUGGCUAGGCAGGUGUUCCUUUCCUCCCUCAUUGAUCCACUUGCAUCCCUCCCGAAGCUGCCUGCUUGGUUGAAGAGGACGACUUUCCCCAAUAGAGGAGGACCAGUCCAAGGUAUACGAGUAGCUAUGCUCCCCUGCUAGAACCUCCAAACAAGCUCUCAAUAUGUCCCAGAGGUUUUGUUGUGCUAUAUUGUCCUUUUCAUUUAGUUCCAGGAAUACUUUUAUUUCUU